UACAUGGGGUGCAAACGUUGCUCGGAAUUAUUGGGCGUAAAGCGCGCGUAGGCGGUUACUUAAGUCGGAUGUGAAAGCCCUCGGCUUAACUGAGGAAGUGCACCCGAAACUGAGAAGCUAGAGUACUAAAGAGGGUCGCGGAAUUCCCGGUGUAGAGGUGAAAUUCGUAGAAAUCGGGAGGAACACCGGUGGCGAAGGCGGCGACCUGGGUAGAGACUGACGCUGAGGCGCGAAAGCGUGGGGAGCAAACAGG
rnacentral:rRNA from 1 species